GUAGUCCACGCCGUAAACGAUGAAUACUAGGUGUAGGGGUUGUCAUGACCUCUGUGCCGCCGCUAACGCAUUAAGUAUUCCGCCUGGGGAGUACGGUCGCAAGAUUAAAACUCAAAGGAAUUGACGGGGGCCCGCACAAGCAGCGGAGCAUGUGGUUUAAUUCGAAGCAACGCGAAGAACCUUACCUAGACUUGACAUCUCCUGCAUUACCCUUAAUCGGGGAAGUUCCUUCGGGAACAGGAAGACAGGUGGUGCAUGGUUGUCGUCAGCUCGUGUCGGGAGAUGUUGGGUUAAGUCCCGCAACGAGCGCAACCCUUAUUGUUAGUUGCUACCAUUUAGUUGAGCACUCUAGCGAGACUGCCCGGGUUAACCGGGAGGAAGGUGGGGAUGACGUCAAAUCAUCAUGCCCCUUAUGUCUAGGGCUACACACGUGCUACAAUGGCUGGUACAGAGAGAUGCUAAACCGCGAGGUGGAGCUAAACUUCAAAACCAGUCUCAGUUCGGAUUGUAGGCUGAAACUCGCCUACAUGAAGCUGGAGUUGCUAGUAAUCGCGAAUCAGCAUGUCGCGGUGAAUACGUUCCCGGGCCUUGUACACACCGCCCGUCACACCAUGAGAGUUGGCAAUACCCAAAGUUGGCGAUCUAACCCGUAAGGGAGGAAGCCACCUAAGGUAGGGUCAGCGAUUGGGGUG
rnacentral:rRNA from 1 species